UACGUAGGGUGCAAGCGUUGUCCGGAAUUAUUGGGCGUAAAGAGCUCGUAGGCGGUUUGUCGCGUCUGCUGUGAAAACUCGGGGCUUAACUCCGGGCCUGCAGUGGGUACGGGCAGACUAGAGUGCGGUAGGGGAGACUGGAAUUCCUGGUGUAGCGGUGAAAUGCGCAGAUAUCUGGAGGAAUACCGGUGGCGAAGGCGGCAUCCUGGACCGGCAUUGACGCUGAUGUGCGAAAGCUAGGGGAGCAAACGGG
rnacentral:rRNA from 1 species